AUGGAGAUCCUGGCGCGGGUGCCCUACCGUUCCCUCUGCCGCUUCCGGUGCGUGUCGCCAUCAUGGCGGACCCUCUGCUCCAACCGCGGCCUCCUUAGACGGUCACCGCAGACCCUCGCCGGCUUCUUUUGUGGCACUUCUCAAAACAUCUGCCACCUGCUUUUCCUCAAUUUUCCGGCCGGCAGGUCAGGCCAGCAGCCACUGGUCGAUCCAUCCCUCCCUUACCUGCACGGCGGCGGCUAUACCCAUUGCUGCGGUGGCCUCCUCCUCUGCAAGUGCUUCACGUCAUCUCCCCCGGGCGUGGAUUACGUUGUGUGCAAUCCGGCUACCGAGGAUUGGACCGUGUUGCCUCACACCGAGGAGCUGCGCCCGGAGAACAUCAUCCUUCUCGGCUUCGACCCUGCCGAUCCCUCCUGCUUCGUGGCCUUCGUGAUCGUGUUGGAUGACGACAAUGCCGGUGAAAUCACUGGAGUGGAGAUAUACUUGUCGGAAACCAGAAUAUGGACUUCAAAGCAAACUGGGUGGGCUCAAGAAACUAGGGUGCACCACUAUCAGGCUUUAAAUUCUCUCUUUAUGAAUGGCACUCUGCAUUUGAUCACUAAAGAUUCUUCUAUCGUCACGGUGGACACGGGUGGCAAGACUUGGCGGAAAAUCUCGAGGGCAUACCCUGGUUGGGAAUGUAUUGGGCAGUCUCGGAGAUGCUUGCAUGUUGUGGACAUAGAUCACUAUAAUGAUGAUGGAUUCCUACUCUCAGUUUGGGUUCUUGAGGAUGCUAGUGGAAAUUGGACUCUAAAGCACACUGUAAAUCUUUCAGAACUGAUAUGA
rnacentral:rRNA from 1 species